rnacentral:rRNA from 1 species
UGGAUUCGCUAGUAAUCGCGCAUCAGCCAUGGCGCGGUGAAUACGUUCCCGGGCCUUGUACACACCGCCCGUCAAGCCAUGGGAGCCGGGGGUGCUUGAAGUGCGUCGCCGCGAGGCGCGCCCUAGAGCAAAACCGGUGACUGGGGCUAAGUCGUAACAAGGUACC